UGCCUUUUCUCAAGUGCGAUGGCUGUUAUCCUGAAUAUACAUCUCACUGCAGUGCCCAUACUUAAAGAAGAACAAUCUAAAGUCUUAGGCAAAUGUGCAGUCUGAGACAGAAGUACCCAGGUGACCAAUGUCAGCAGAAAAAAGUCAUCAAAGAAGUCCCACUAGUAGCAAUAGCUUACAAGUUUGAUUUAAAAAGAAAAAUCUGCAGCAGCUAGGAGACCUGUCAGACUUGACCCAAGUGAGGAAGAAAGUCAUUUAACCAUCCCCAAUGCCUUUUUUGAAGAACAGAGAGCACGAGGAAGCCGAAAAUUAAAGGACAUAAAAGGACACUAUCAGAAUCAUAAAGUGGAGGAAUUCCAUUGGGACUGGAACAUCCUCCAGAAAUUCAUGCAGAAUGAGAGGAGUAGAACCAGGAGAACAUUGUACACAGAGACUGAUACACUGUGGUACAAUCGAAUGUAAUGGACUCGUUCAUUAGUGGUAAUGCAGUGAUCCUGAACAACCCAGAGGGAUCUAUGAGAAUGAACACUAUCCACAUUCAGAAGGAUAAUUGUGUGAGUAGAAACACUUGAUUGCAUGGGUUGAGGGGGAUAUUAUUGGGGAUCUAGACUCUAAGUGAACAUCCUAAUGCAAACACCAACAACAUGGAAAUAGGUUCUAAUUAAGGAAACAUGUAAUACCCAGUGAAAUUGCACAUAGGCUGUGGUAAGGGUGGGGUGAGGGGAGAGAGGGAAAGAAUAUGAUUCUUGUAACCAAGGAAUAAUGUUCUAAAUUGACUAAUAAAAAAGAAGAAGAAGAAAAAAAGAAUGUUCUC
rnacentral:lncRNA from 1 species